AGUUUGAUCUUGGCUCAGGAUGAACGCUGGCGGCGUGCCUAAUACAUGCAAGUCGAGCGAACAGACGAGGAGCUUGCUCCUCUGACGUUAGCGGCGGACGGGUGAGUAACACGUGGAUAACCUACCUAUAAGACUGGGAUAACUUCGGGAAACCGGAGCUAAUACCGGAUAAUAUAUUGAACCGCAUGGUUCAAUAGUGAAAGACGGUUUUGCUGUCACUUAUAGAUGGAUCCGCGCCGCAUUAGCUAGUUGGUAAGGUAACGGCUUACCAAGGCAACGAUGCGUAGCCGACCUGAGAGGGUGAUCGGCCACACUGGAACUGAGACACGGUCCAGACUCCUACGGGAGGCAGCAGUAGGGAAUCUUCCGCAAUGGGCGAAAGCCUGACGGAGCAACGCCGCGUGAGUGAUGAAGGUCUUCGGAUCGUAAAACUCUGUUAUUAGGGAAGAACAAAUGUGUAAGUAACUAUGCACGUCUUGACGGUACCUAAUCAGAAAGCCACGGCUAACUACGUGCCAGCAG
rnacentral:rRNA from 1 species